rnacentral:lncRNA from 1 species
GGGAUGCAUUCAAAAGGCCCUAGUUGGUCAGGGCUUUUGCUCUUGUUUUGAUUCUUUUCUGCCUGGCUGAAUUUAGGUAAGAAGGGGAAGAGAAGAGAACAAGCCUAAAGUACCUUUUAUAUGUCAGCUACUUUCCUAAGUACAGUACAGAUACAUCUCAUUUGAUCCUCACAGCGAUGUUGGGGAGAAUGUGCUAUUAUCUCUUUUUUACAGAUGAGAAAACUGAGGCAAACAGAAAUUAAAUUACUUGCCCAGGAUCACACAGCUAAUUAGUAUCUGAGACUGGCUUUGAAUUCAGUUUUUUGAUUCCAGGGUCAGCUGAGUCACCACCCUGCCCCUUCACAGUAAAUAUCACUUUGUUCUUUGAUUAGGGAGUCUAUUAGGUGACUCGGUGGAUGAGAGCCAUACCUUGUAAUGAAAGGUCUUGGGUUCAAAUGUAUCCCCAGACACUUCCUAGCUAUGUGACUCUGCAAGUCACUUAGCUCCCAAUCAAUGCCUAGACCUUACAGCUCUUCUGCCUUGGAACCAAUACAAAGAUAGAAGAAACAGCAAAGUGGGUAGCAGAUGGACUUGGAGUCAGGAAGAAUUGGAUUAAAUCUUACUUCAGACCCUUAACCAGCUGUGUGACCUUGGACAAAUCACAUAACCCCUCUCGGUUAAAUUUUCCUCAUCUGCAAAAGUAUAGGACUUAA